CGGCCUGAGUUCAGACGAGGCUACCCACUGAAAUUAAGCA
rnacentral:rRNA from 1 species